CCCUUAGAUGUCCUGGGCCGCACGCGCGCUACACUGAGUGUCUGAGAUACGAGUCUGCCUGGUCCGGCAAGGUCUAGGUAAUCGCUAAAAGACACAUCAUGCUUGGGAUAGAUUAUUGCAAAUAUUAAUCUUGAACGAGGAAUUCCUAGUAAGCGCAAGUCAAUAGCUUGCGUUUAUUACGUCCCUGCCCUUUGUACACACCGCCCGUCGCUACUACUGAUUGGAUGUUUAAGCGAGGUUCUCGAACUGCUAGCGACUUAGCUUCGGUGAGGUCGCAGUGUGGGAAGUGAACCUAGCUUUGGUGUCUAGAGGAAGUAAAAGUCGUAACA
rnacentral:rRNA from 1 species